rnacentral:rRNA from 1 species
CCCUUAGAUGUUCUGGGCCGCACGCGCGCUACACUGAUGCAUUCAACGAGCCUAUCCUUGACCGACAGGUCCGGGUAAUCUUUGAAUCUGCAUCGUGACGGGGAUAGAUUAUUGCAAUUAUUAAUCUUCAACGAGGAAUGCCUAGUAGGCGCGAGUCAUAAGCUCGCGUUGAUUACGUCCCUGCCCUUUGUACACACCGCCCGUCGCUACUACCGAUUGAACGGUUUAGUGAGGGCCUCGGAUUGGUCUCGGCCCGCUCUUUACCGGGCGGCGCCGUUGGUCGAGAAGACGCUCGAACUUGAUCGUUUAGAGGAAGUAAAAGUCGUAACA